GCCAGUGUGACAUAGUGGUUUGAGCACUGGACUAUGACUCUGGAGACCAGGGUUCAAUUCCCACAUGGCCA
rnacentral:tRNA from 1 species